UAUAACAAACAUCAAUUGUGACUGAUAAACCUUUAACUACAUACUAAAUAAUGCAUUUAUUGAAAAUAUUUAUUACUGAUAACAAGAUUGUAACCGUGUUUUUAAUAGCAGAAAGCGCAAAAAAUAUUAAAUGAUUGGUAAAUGCUAAAAGAUUUAUUGUGGUCUACUAUAGUCUCAUAAGGUAGAAAUACCGUGUGUAAUGCUCAUUUCUUUCAAAUUUAACUCGAUAUCCUUCAUAAGAACCAUUGUUUUCGACAUUUAUUCAUUCUUUUAGGAAUAUUGAAACAACAUUAUUAAUUGUGGUAAACCUUAUCUGGCAGUACUUAAGAGUGCAUCUUUGACUUUAUUACUCGAGUGAAUGCACCUUCAAACCGGUUUAACACCAACAUGUCACAGUAAUCAAUACCAUCUGUGUUAAGAUGUCGGGAAUGUGUUAGACGAAUGAUUUUGUUUUAUGGAGCUUUGAAGAGCGAUGAAUGGCACUAAAGUGGUGCCAAAUGGAUAUCUCAAACACCCAUUGUUGAUGUGUGAUGCUGAUAAUACAGAGACAGCUAGAGUGACAGAGUUUGAUGAAUAAACUUAAAUUAAAAAACAGAAAUAACCACCAUCUCUCUCAGAGGUCAUCUUUCUCAUUAUUGUGGGGAAACCUCAAAGGGCAUCAGGAAAACCUUCAUCAACCUCUUUGUGCCCAGUGGCUUGUGCAACAGUGUUUCAGAAAUUAUCAUUAAAAUGGGGAUAAUGGAUGACUGGCCACACAUAUGGGGCUAUGGACAAGCUUCAGAGCAGGCUGCCAGGUGGUGGUGUUAGUAGUUUAUACUCCGGGUCCCGGCGUGAGCACAUUGAAGGGUCCCAGAGUGACAGUUCAACCACCGCACACCUAUCCUGGGCAGAACCAGUACUAGGUGCCUUCACCUCUGCAAGGAACUGACAGCUUCUGUACAUGCCAGGUGCAGUGGUACAGUGCGAAUGGUCGUAGAAAGGAUUUCAUAACCAAUCACAACAGAGGUGACCUGGUCCGCCCGGGAAUCGAACCCGGGAUGUCCAAUUCAGAGUCCAACGCUCUACCGAUUGAGCUGACCGGGCGGACAUAUUAGCUACAUUAGAUGACAAGCCAUCUAUGCUGGACAUUCUUCACAAUAAAAUGUGAUGUCACAGGAGCUGUCUAUCUCAACAGCUCACACUGUCCGUAUUUGACUAAAGGAAUGAAUGAAGUCACUGCAGAAGUUAGAUUGAGGAAUGUCCAUGUCACUACCCAUCAUUUGGAAGGAGUUGGAUAAAAAAAGUGUGGCCUAUGUAUUGAAACAGGUCCGAUUUCCAGUUACGGACAGUCUUGAUUUGUCUGAUUACAUUUUUGACCAACAUGAUGGUCUAAAAGAACACUUACUGGUAACUGGUAAAAUCAUGGCCCAGUUGUUCCAAGAGGCAGGCGAGUGGGAAGUUACUAGACUCCAUUUCUUUAUGGGUUGAUCUGAGGUUCCAGUUCAGUUAAAGUACUGAUAGAACACCAAGUGUUUGCCAUAAUACAGCAACAUUUGAUUUGUAACUAUGUAUUUGUUUGAAUUGUUGAAACAGUACUGUUUACUAAAUAAUGUGUAUGUAUAUGAAGAAUAAUAUUAUAAAUAAUUUGUAAGAACCUGAUAUUAAGUAAAAUGUCGAUAAGUCUAAAUAUGUAUCUGCGAAUCAUUUUUGUAUAUCUGUAAAGAUUACAUUGCCUAUAUUCCUCAAUUUAUAUUUUUCUUUUAGCCAGUCAAUAACUUUUCUUAAGUUCUAUCUUCAAAAUUGUCGGGACAGGGAUUAUAGCCCUUAAUUAACCCAAAUAUGUAACAUUCAAUGCAAAAUUUCUAAUUGGCUGCAUUUAGGCAGUUCAGAUGCAGGAACAAACAUCACUUGGGUCCUUAAUAAUAGCUUUCCAUCUGACAUUGAAGAUCCAAUAAAAGGAAUUUGUCAUGUGACUGUUUAUUAACUCUCAAUUUAUUGAAAGUGAAAUUACUUACAUGAUUUGUAAGAACUAAAUUAUAAUGAUAUCAAAUGAUUGUUUAAAUUAAAUAAAAUAGAUGAUUACAUACAUGAACUAUUUUUAUUUCUUGUUUGUCAAUAUGAAGAGUAAUGCAAUGGCUUUUGAAUUUCAUAAAAAAGGAUGGAAAAAUGUAUGUUUAUUGUUUAAGCAAUUAAUUAAGUAAUAAAAGUUUUUUUUUUCUUUUUUUCAAAUUAUGCUAUCUUAUAAUACAGAUCGUUAUUUGUUUAAUUUUGGUACAAAUGAAGUAUAUAAGGUAUGUCUAAUGUUACAAAUAGCAAAAAUUCAAAUGCAAAUCAUGGUGACUUGACUAAAUGUGAAUGCUAAUUGAAUCAAAAUAGUUAAUAAAUAAUAAUGUUCAUUUGAAACAAUUGAGAGUAUAAGUUUGG